UUUUAACAAAAAAAGGAGCUAUUGCCACGGUAGUGUAUUGUAUGAUGAAAAAUUUAGAAACGCGCGGAGUACUUCCCUCUAUUUUUUUGCCCAAUUUUUUUGAACAACAUAUUCCCCAAUUUUCACUCUGUACUUCCCAUUUUCUCCAUUUUCCACAUUCUCAUAUUUUCCCCAAUUCUCCAUAACUACUUCCAAAUUCUAAGAGGACAAUUACUCAAAAAUUCUAAGGGCUUUGUUUUUGAGGGUGAAACACCACACAUGGUGGUGUUAGGGUUAGGGUUCCACCACGGAACCACUCCAAAACCACCUCCGUUGACGAAUUGGGCGCAAAUGAGGAGGUUCACUGUUAUAAUUUAGGCAAAUGAUAAACCGUCAAUGUUUUCGCUCGCCAUAGCCCAGCUUCCUCGAGUACUCGGAGCUGCUGUCUACAGUUGAUGGAAUUGUUGCUGCUGCCGGAGAUUUAAACUGAAGAAAAGAGGAGAGAGAAAUUUUCAAAUUCAGUAACAAUAGAUCCUGAAUUCACUGAGAUUUCCCAGAGCUUCGAACGUUUCAAAUUAAGCUGCUUCUGUUCGCAAUGAUUUCAACACCUCCACUCGUCUCCUUUCUCAGCUUAAGCAAAGACAAUUGGGCGCAAACGAGGAAUUAGGGUUUGGUUCUGGGUCUGGUCAUCACUUCCUUACAAAAUCACUUGCAAUGAUGAUGAUGUGAACUUGGAGUCCCCCCUCUGAGCUCCUUAAACAGGCUUAAUUUUGGUGUAGGGAGCUGCUGCCACCUGCUUUGUGUUGCUUUUGGGGUGGCUCUUGCUGCUGGGCUGCUACUGCUCUAGAUUCUGCCUCUGCCUGUUCUUCUUGCUGUUGCUACUGCUCUAGCUGCUGCCUAUGCCUGCUCUUCUUGCUGCUGGUGCUCUUCUGUCAGUUAGUGCUGUCAGCUUUGUUGGGUUUUUUUUGAUAUUUUAUUUUGUUGUUUUGUAUUGGCAUGUUGGUGUAUCUUUGGUUGUUUUGGUUUUGCUUGUUUUUGUUGGUGUUUGGACUUUGGAGUGGUUGUUUUUGUACCGUCCCUCAGGACAUGGGUGCCCUUCCUUGAGGGUAGCUCCCUUCCUUUGAGGUCAGGGAGCCUUUGUCUGGUUCAAGCUCUAAAAGAACCCUUCCUAGAAGGUGGCUUUUGGAGUUUGGAUCUUAGGCUGGUGGGUGUGCAAAUAAUACAGUUGUUCGAUUGUUUUUAAUUAAAUAUGAAUAAUAUCUCACUCUUGUCUAAGUCAUUUGAGAGAGGGAGUGACAGAUUAAGAGAGAAUAAAAAACCUGUAAGUAUAUGAUUAUGUUUAGCCUCCUUAAAGAAAGAUUAUUGUUAUUCUAAUGAUGCUUAUCAUAAGUAUAUAAUAUGGUUAUUGAACAGCGUGCAGGUACACGAAUAAACUUUCGGAACUUCAAGUUUAUUUUUUACUUCUUUUUUUCUGCUUGAAUUAUAUAUGAGAAAAGAGGAAUGAUGGAUGUUUAUCUUUUUGUGAUUUUGAAUUCUUGAAAUUGGAUUAUGUUUUUAUAAGGUUUUUGGGUUUUAUUUGAUAUAUGCAGGUUGUAAGGAAUUGACUACACUGAUUUUUGUCUUUUUUUUUUUAUUUUUUUAUUUUUUUAUUUUUUUUACUGGUAUAGCUUGCAAUUAAUAAUAUUCAUGAGCUAAUUAGUUUUCGACGAAAAGAACGAACUGACCUAUAUUUAGGAUGAUGUAGGUGUAAACAAUUGCUUGAGCACAACAACGAUUGCUAUGACAGGAGUUGGACUCGAUUAAGGAAACUUUGAACCCUGAGCUGCAAAGAGCUCCAGCAGCAUUCAACAUCAUCAAGUACUAGUAAAAUAGGUGGAUACUGAAGUUGAAGAAGGUGCUUCCCGAAUUGCUUUACUUGAGAAAUUGGAGGAGUGGGAGAAAGAAAUGAUAUUUGCAGCCCAAACAAUUGCUGAAAAUAUGGUUUGGGGGACAAAAUGAUUUAGUUUUAAUAUUUUAAUUGUUUUUUUCUUAGUUUAACUAGUGAUAAUUUAAUUUUGUAAUUUUUCUUAUAGAUAA